UACGUAGGGUGCGAGCGUUGUCCGGAAUUAUUGGGCGUAAAGAGCUCGUAGGCGGUUUGUCGCGUCUGCUGUGAAAACCCGAGGCUCAACCUCGGGCCUGCAGUGGGUACGGGCAGACUAGAGGUGCGGGUAGGGGAGAUUGGAAUUCCUGGUGUAGCGGUGGAAUGCGCAGAUAUCAGGAAGAACACCCGUGGCGAAGGCGGCUCUCGUGGGACGGUACUGACGGCUGAGACGCGAAAGCGUGGGGAGCGAACAGG
rnacentral:rRNA from 1 species